CACGUAGGGGCCAAGCGUUGGCCGGAUUCAUUGGGCGUAAAGAGCUCGUAGGCGGUUCAGUCAGUCGGGUGUGAAAUCUCCGGGCUCAACCCGGAGGGGCCACCCGAUACUGCUGUGACUCGAGUCCGGUAGGGGAGUGGGGAAUUCCUGGUGUAGCGGUGAAAUGCGCAGAUAUCAGGAGGAACACCGGUGGCGAAGGCGCCACUCUGGGCCGGUACUGACGCUGAGGAGCGAAAGCGUGGGUAGCAAACAGG
rnacentral:rRNA from 1 species